GUCCUAGCCGUAACGAUGGCACUAGGUAGGAGGUUCUGACGCCUUCUCUGCUGUAGCUAAUGUGUUAAGUGCCCGCCUGGGAGUAUGGUCGCAAGGCUAAACUCAAAGGAAUUGACGGGCGUCACACAAGCGGUGGAGCAUGUGGUUUAAUUCGAAGCAACGCGCAGAACCUUACCUGGGUUGACAUGCUGGGAUUAGUCCUGUGAGAACAGGAUGACGCGGGUAACCGUGGAACCAGCACAGGUGCUGCAUGGCUGUCGU
rnacentral:rRNA from 1 species